GCGAACGGGGAGGAGCCCAGAGCCUGAAUCAGUGUGUGUGUUAGUGGAAGCGUCUGGAAAGGCGCGCGAUACAGGGUGACAGCCCCGUACACAAAAAUGCACAUGCUGUGAGCUCGAUGAGUAGGGCGGGACACGUGGUAUCCUGUCUGAAUAUGGGGGGACCAUCCUCCAAGGCUAAAUACUCCUGACUGACCGAUAGUGAACCAGUACCGUGAGGGAAAGGCGAAAAGAACCCCGGCGAGGGGAGUGAAAAAGAACCUGAAACCGUGUACGUACAAGCAGUGGGAGCCUCUUUAUGGGGUGACUGCGUACCUUUUGUAUAAUGGGUCAGCGACUUAUAUUCUGUAGCAAGGUUAACCGAAUAGGGGAGCCGAAGGGAAACCGAGUCUUAACUGGGCGUUAAGUUGCAGGGUAUAGACCCGAAACCCGGUGAUCUAGCCAUGGGCAGGUUGAAGGUUGGGUAACACUAACUGGAGGACCGAACCGACUAAUGUUGAAAAAUUAGCGGAUGACUUGUGGCUGGGGGUGAAAGGCCAAUCAAACCGGGAGAUAGCUGGUUCUCCCCGAAAGCU
rnacentral:rRNA from 1 species